rnacentral:misc_RNA from 1 species
AAGUCGUAACAAGGUUUCCGUAGGUGAACCUGCGGAAGGAUCAUUUCCGAAACAAAUUUCCAUACCAACCAACCAUGUGAAAUGUAAUUGUCUUUACUGUGGCACACCUAAAGGGGGUGAUGUGUGUGUGUGUGUGGUGGGAGAUGUGUGUGUGUGGGGGAGUGGCGCUUUUCAAGUGCCGCUUUCCCUAACCCUCUCUCUCUCCUGCCGCCUCUUAUCCCUCCUGUGCCACAGGCCUUGAUGAACUACCUUGAAUAGGUUGAUUUAUUGUCGUUCUUCCUACCAAUGGAAAACCAAUUAAAUGACAACUUUUAACGGUGGAUCUCUUGGCUCGU